rnacentral:lncRNA from 1 species
ACUUUCUUAUGAUCAUAAACAAGCUUCUGUCCAAGUUUGGUAGAAAUUCAGUAUAGUUUAAGAAAGUUAUUAAAAUUUCAAAAACUUUAACCACAGAGUGAAUAUUUGUGGACGCCGCCGACGACGACGCCGACGACGACGGAAUGUAGGAUCGCUUAGUCUCGCUUUUUCGACUAAAGUCGAAGGCUCGACAAAAAUCUCUCACCUUUCACUCAAAAUAUGGAUAACUUUAUGGCAAGGGGUCUAUAAUUCUCUUUGACAGCUACAGACAUAAUAAUUUUGUACCUUUUUCGGCUAGACAAAAUCCUUUACGCUAACUUAAAAUGCACGAGUCAAACACUACCCAAAUUUGUUUUACAAGUAAUUUCUUCUCUCUUCUUAUAUUAAAAAUAUAGGAUAUUUUAUGAUUUUUUUCGAUGUAUUGUUUAUCCACAUUGGUCUAUAUACUAGUAUGAAGAAGAAAAAAAAUCAAUUACUAGUAACAAGAUUAGGCCCUAACACUUAAUAUUACAAACAUGUGUUACCCCCUGGUGCUGCUGAAGAUAAUAUUACACACACACACACUAAUAUUAUAGUGAUAUGCGCAUUGUAUUGGCCGGACAAAUAGUCCUGGUACUAUUCGUCCGGCUAGCCGGACAAAUAGCAACUGCC